CCUCUCUCUUCUCCCCUCUUUCUCUCUCACCGAUCUCUCACUCUCUCUCGUUCUUCUUCGUUCACCGGGGCUCGGCCGGUCAUUGUGUCGCCGGCGAACGACACUCGCACCGCCGGCUGCACGCCGCCCACCUCGCCGCUGUCAGCAGGUCACGCUGCUGCUCGUACUCCCACCGUCCGCUCCCUCUCACGCAGCUGCGUCGUCGUCACCAGGUCCGGCAGCCCCGUCGCUUUGUCGGGCUCGCCGGCGUGUGAGCCCAGCCGCCGUCGGGGGGGGGGUGGGGCAGCAGGGUCUUCCGGAGCGACGUUGCAGCCGCCGGAGCUUCGCUGGCAGCUGGGGCGUCGAGGGCAGUGGCGACGUCGGGAGGUAGCGGGGUGCGUUGAGUUCAAACUCUUAAAGUUAAGUCAUUGUUUUAAAGCUUGAUAUUAAGAUUGUGGUUGAAAGAAGUUCAUAGUUUCAAGUUUGUUCAUAUAAGAAAACAAUGGGCUCAAAACUCUUGAUUGCAAAAUUUUAGUUAAAGAACAUUUAAGUAUGAACAUACAUGUUUCAAGUCCUUGAUAGCAUGAAAAGUAUGUGAUGGCGUUGGAUGAAAUCUCUACAUUUAGCAUGCUAAAAGAAUCCUAGCAUACUUGGUCUAUAGAUAAUUAAGGAAAUAAAAUGGUUUGAAGUUCAAGUCUAUUGGUUCAAUUAUAUGAUGGCUAAGUUGAGCAUGUAGUGGAGAGCAUGGUUGAUCUAUAAAUGUUGGUAUGAAAGAGUAUAGAUUGAAUGAACAUACUCCGAGGAGAUGAGGAAGAAGAGGUGACGAUGAGAAACUCGGUUUUUUCCUUUAGCUUUCACCUUCUAUAUCUUACUUGAUGAUAUCCUCCCUUGAAUUAACUUUGAUGGUAAUUCUUGUUUUUGAAGUAAAGGAAUUGAGUGAAUGGAGGUAAAUUUUAUAGAUAAGGGAAGAAAAUGGAAUGAAUUUUGAAUAUAUUUUUUUUUCACAAAAGACAAAAAUCACGUCUUUUCGUUUCGAUUUGACGACUAAUUAAUGCGGCUGUUUUUUUUGGAAAAUGUGCUUGACGUGAUGCGAUUCUUAUCCACUUUUCGUCUUGAUUUGAUGUCGAAAGUGUAUUUGAUACGUGGUCUAUCCUUUCGUGUAGGUAUCGGGAGUGCAAAAGUGGUGAUCGAGCAAGACCCGGAGGACGGGAGACAGCUGUCCCGGGGCUGCCCGGUACUCGGCACGGCUGUCCGGCGCGAGUCCCUCCCGGCACGAGUCCCUCCCGGCACGACUCAUGUGAUGUCCGAAAUUGUUUUUCUUAUUCUAUUCUAGCGUCGAACUCUUUGUAAAAACGCUUUUGGACUUUUAUUUGUAAAUUGAACCUCUCAAACUAGCUAUUAGUUCUUCAAUGCUAAAAGAACUUCAUUCA